rnacentral:rRNA from 1 species
UACGUAGGGUGCAAGCGUUGUCCGGAAUUACUGGGCGUAAAGCGUGCGCAGGCGGUUUUGUAAGCCAGAUGUGAAAUCCCCGGGCUCAACCUGGGAAUGGCAUUUGGGACUGCAAGGCUGGAGUACGGCAGAGGAGACUGGAAUUCCUGGUGUAGCAGUGAAAUGCGUAGAUAUCAGGAGGAAUACCGAUGGCGAAGGCAGGUCUCUGGGCUGAUACUGACGCUCAUGCACGAAAGCGUGGGGAGCAAACAGG